AUUUUGUUGAGUGAUCAUUUAAAAUAUGCUUUUGAAUAUAUUCUUUUGGAAUGGUUUGCUUCAAUUUGCAUCAUUUAUAUGUUUUGUCAUUUCUUGAAUUUAGCUAUAAUAUUCCUGGGUGUUGUCAGUUGGGGAUUAAAUACAGGAGGUGAUAUGUGGAUUCUUUCAAUCUCCACUUUUCCCUCUUGUUUUAGGAUAUCGGGGCAGUUUUCCUGAAUAAUUUCCUGUAGUAUGGUGUCCAGGCUUUUUCUUUUGUCAUGGUCUUCUGGUAGACCAAUGAUUCUUAAAUUGUCUCUUCUCGAAUGAUUUUCUAAAUCCUCUGUUUUGUGAAUGAGGUGCUUCAUAUUUUCCUAAAUUUUUUCAUUCUUUUCAUUUUGUUUUAUUGUGUUCUUCUGCCUUGUGAGGUCACUUAAUUCCAGUUGUUGUAUUCUGGUUCUUAAAAACUGGAUUUCAUCCCUGGCUUUUUGGUCAUCCUUUUCCUUCUGGUCUGAUUUUCUUUGAAGGCCAUCUUUCAUCCUCUUUACCUCGUCUUUCAUCUCUUUUGUCUCAUCUUUCAUCUUCUUUGUCUCAUCUUUCAUCUCCUUUGCCUCAUUUUCCGGCUGGUUGAUUUUGGCUUUCAAGACUCUAUUUUCUCAUUUUAGUUCAAGUGUUUCUGUUUCCAGAUGAAUUAUCUUAAUUUUUAAGUUCUUUUCCCAAUUGUCUUUAGCCUCUCUUAAUAGUGUUUUGAGUUCUUCCACAGCCUGUAUCCAAUUUGCUGGGAUUUCUGAUUUAUUGUUUGCUGAUCUUUCCCACUCUGUUCCAUUUGCUGAAUAGAAGCUGUAUAUUGUAAUUUCUUUCUUCUUUUUCUGUUGUUUGCUCAUAGUCACCCCUUCUUUACUCCCCGUGUUUGUCUGUGCUCUUGCUCCUCUCAUUUUUUUGGUUUUGGGCACUUUUAUCAGUCUCCCCUCUUAGAGCUUUAACAGGAGAUCUCUAGGUGUAAUCUCUGGGGGCGGGUUGUUGGGGGUUUGUGCUUCCCUGUCCUCUGGAGGCUUUUGAUUGGCUUAAAGUCCAGCAGUCAUUAAGGAUGGGUGUGGAGCCUGGGCUUCCCUGAGUUCUGGAGACUUUUGAUGGGAUUAAGUUCAGCUUAGUUGGGCUGGGUGUGCUCUGAGUCCAAAAUCUCCUGGAAGGCUGGAGCAAAUAUGGAGUAUCUCUACAGCUCUGGCCAGGCUGCCAUGUC
rnacentral:lncRNA from 1 species